rnacentral:rRNA from 1 species
GAUGAACGCUGGCGGCGUGCCUAAUACAUGCAAGUCGAGCGAACAGGCGAGGAGCUUGCUCCUCUGACGUUAGCGGCGGACGGGUGAGUAACACGUGGAUAACCUACCUAUAAGACUGGGAUAACUUCGGGAAACCGGAGCUAAUACCGGAUAAUAUAUUGAACCGCAUGGUUCAAUAGUGAAAGACGGUUUUGCUGUCACUUAUAGAUGGAUCCGCGCCGCAUUAGCUAGUUGGUAAGGUAACGGCUUACCAAGGCAACGAUGCGUAGCCGACCUGAGAGGGGGAUCGGCCACAAUGGAACUGAGACACGGUCCAGACGCCUACGGGAGGCAGCAGUAGGGAAUCUUACGCAAUGGGCGAAAGCAUGACGGAGCAACGCCGCGUGAGUGAUGAAGGUCUUCGGAUCGUAAAACUCUGUUAUUAGGGAAGAACAAAUGUGUAAGUAACUAUGCACGUCUUGACGGUACCUAAUCAGAAAGCCACGGCUAACUACGUG